rnacentral:lncRNA from 1 species
AAAAUGGCUCCACACUUUUGUAUUUCUUCACGCAGCAACGUGAUCGGCGUGUUUUCGAUGAUCUCGACGCUCAGCAAGAUCCAUUGUGCAGUGUUAAGUUCAGAAAUGUUUUCCUCAUCCUAUGCAGCAGUGAAUUCUCUUGUGCGCUUCGUCGUUUCCGCCCGCUGGAUAUCGACGAUUUUGACAAAGAACUCUACGAAGUCUUGCGGGCUGGCGAGGAAAACGGCAGCACCCACUUACUGCACAUGAGCCAAACUGAGGAAGGGGUGGAGGAGGCGUGAGUCGAACAACAACCGACGUGUGCAGCGGAAACUCGGCGAUGCUCAACUGGGACCGGGAUCACGAAAAAACACCUUUACCUCGAGGCGAAAAAGUGUCCCCUGCAGGACCUCCAGAAGAAACACCAGUCCCCGCAACGGUACCUUGCACAAGAAUGUGCCAACCUGCACUAUUAAUCCAGCUAGGUUUUCAUGGACAUUUUCAUUAAUUUUAUUG